UUUCCGUAGGUGAACCUGCGGAAGGAUCAUUAAAAAGUUUAUCAAGGGGCGGGUAAAACCGUCCCCUGGAAAAUUCCACCCUUGGGUAUUAUUAUUCGUUGCAUUGGUGGGCCGCGCGAUCGCCUAGCGAUUGAGCACCGGUUUUGGCUGUAGAGCGUGUGCAAGAAGACCAAAAACUGUUAUUUAUGAAGACCGAAUACUAUUUAAUAGUUAAAACUUUCAACAACGGCACUCCUGGAUCUGGCAUCGAUGAAGAACGCACCCGAUCGGAAAAGCCCA
rnacentral:misc_RNA from 1 species